rfam:Triticum aestivum genome assembly, contig: Triticum_aestivum_CS42_TGACv1_scaffold_223804_3B
AAAGUACUCCCUCCGUCCGGAAAUACUUGUCAUUAAAAUGAACAAAAAAGGGUGUAUCUAGAUGUAUUUUAGUUGUAGAUUCAUCCCUUUUUAUCCAUUUUGAUGACAAAUAUUUUCGGACGGAGGGAGUAGGAA